rnacentral:rRNA from 1 species
ACUCCUACGGGAGGCAGCAGUGGGAAUAUUGGACAAUGGGGGCAACCCUGAUCCAGCCAUGCCGCGUGUGUGAAGAAGGCCUUUUGGUUGUAAAGCACUUUAAGCAGGGAGGAGAGGCUAAUGGUUAAUACCCAUUAGAUUAGACGUUACCUGCAGAAUAAGCACCGGCUAACUCUGUGCCAGCAGCCGCGGUAAUACAGAGGGUGCGAGCGUUAAUCGGAAUUACUGGGCGUAAAGCGUGCGCAGGCGGUCUGUUAAGCGAGAUGUGAAAGCCCCGGGCUCAACCUGGGAACUGGCAUUUCGAACUGGCAGUACUAGAGUCUUGUAGAGGGGGGUAGAAUUCCAGGUGGUAGCAGGUCGAAAUGCGUAAGAGAUCUGGAGGAAUACCGGUGGCGAAGGCGGCCCCUGGCACAAAGACUAGACGCUCAGGCACGAAAGCGU